GACGAACGCUGGCGGCGUGCUUAACACAUGCAAGUCGAACGCUGAAGCUCAGCUUUUGUUGGGUGGAUGAGUGGCGAACGGGUGAGUAACACGUGAGUAACCUGCCCUCUUCUUUGGGAUAACGCCCGGAAACGGGUGCUAAUACUGGAUAUUCACUUGCCUUCGCAUGGGGGUUGGUGGAAAGGUUUGUUCUGGUGGGGGAUGGGCUCGCGGCCUAUCAGCUUGUUGGUGGGGUGAUGGCCUACCAAGGCUUUGACGGGUAGCCGGCCUGAGAGGGUGA
rnacentral:rRNA from 1 species